rnacentral:misc_RNA from 1 species
UGAGCCAUGAGUACCGCGGUGUUUCGCCGCGGGGGUGUUCUGUCCCCAU